AAAAAAUCGUCUUUAAGAGAAGUAGCUAGGAUAGAAAAAAUCACAGAAAGUUUCGGCUGAUGAGAAGAAACAUUUUUUCCCUAGUGAAUGGACUUAUUGGAGCGUUCUUGAACCAGAGUAGGGAACGACGGGAGCUCCCGUUACAGAGUACGAUCGUUGUUGGACGAUUAGAGUUGCUGUUUGCGAACAGUAAAAAAAGAGGUGGUACCGCGCUGCUUGCGCCCUCAAA
rnacentral:ncRNA from 1 species